rnacentral:rRNA from 1 species
GCGAGAUUGAGAGAUUUUGCUUCUCUGAUGUUAGCGGCGGACGGGUGAGUAACACGUGGAUAACCUACCUAUAAGACUGGGAUAACUUCGGGAAACCGGAGCUAAUACCGGAUAAUAUUUUGAACCGCAUGGUUCAAAAGUGAAAGACGGUCUUGCUGUCACUUAUAGAUGGAUUUCCGCGCUGCAUUAGCUAGUUGGUAAGGUAACGGCUUGAGAACCAAGGCAACGAUGCAUAGCCGACCUGAGAGGGUGAUCGGCCACACUGGAACUGAGACACGGUCCAGACUCCUACGGGAGGCAGCAGUAGGGAAUCUUCCGCAAUGGGCGAAAGCCUGACGGAGCAACGCCGCGUGAGUGAUGAACGUUGAGAGGUCUUCGGAUCGUAAAACUCUGUUAUUAGUUUUGGAAGAACAUAUGUGUAAGUAACUGUGCACAUCUUGACGGUACCUAAUCAGAAAGCCACGGCUAACUACGUGCCAGCAGCCGCGGUAAUACGUAGGUGGCAAGCGUUAUCCGGAAUUAUUGGGCGUAAAGCGCGCGUAGGCGGUUUUUUAAGUCUGAUGUGAAAGCCCACGGCUCAACCGUGGAGGGUCAUUGGAAACUGGAAAACUUGAGUGCAGAAGGAGAGAAGGAAAGUGGAAUUCCAUGUGUAGCGGUGAAAUGCGCAGAGAUAUGGAGGAACACCAGUGGCGAAGGCGACUUUCUGGUCUGUAACUGACGCUGAUGUGCGAAAGCGUGGGGAUCAAACAGGAUUAGAUACCCUGGUAGUCCACGCCGUAAACGAUGAGUGCUAAGUGUUAAGGGGGUUUCCGCCCCUUAGUGCUGCAGCUAACGAUUAA